GGGGGUAUAGCUCUGUGGUAGAGCAUGUGCUUAGCGUGCAUGAGGUCCUGGGUUCAAUCCCCAUUACCUCCA
rnacentral:tRNA from 1 species